rnacentral:rRNA from 1 species
UACGUAGGGUGCGAGCGUUAAUCGGAAUUACUGGGCGUAAAGCGUGCGCAGGCGGUUAUAUAAGUCAGGUGUGAAAUCCCCGGGCUCAACCUGGGACCUGCAUUUGUGACUGUAUAGCUAGAGUACGGUAGAGGGGGAUGGAAUUCCGCGUGUAGCAGUGAAAUGCGUAGAUAUGCGGAGGAACACCGAUGGCGAAGGCAAUCCCCUGGACCUGUACUGACGCUCAUGCACGAAAGCGUGGGGAGCAAACAGG